AUUGAACGCUGGCGGCAGGCCUAACACAUGCAAGUCGAGCGGAUGAAGGGAGCUUGCUCCUGGAUUCAGCGGCGGACGGGUGAGUAAUGCCUAGGAAUCUGCCUGGUAGUGGGGGAUAACGUCCGGAAACGGGCGCUAAUACCGCAUACGUCCUGAGGGAGAAAGUGGGGGAUCUUCGGACCUCACGCUAUCAGAUGAGCCUAGGUCGGAUUAGCUAGUUGGUGGGGUAAAGGCCUACCAAGGCGACGAUCCGUAACUGGUCUGAGAGGAUGAUCAGUAAAACUGGAACUGAGACACGGUCCAGACUCCUAAGGGAGGCAGAAGUGGGGAAUAUUGGACAAUGGGCGAAAGCCUGAUCCAGCCAUGCCGCGUGUGUGAAGAAGGUCUUCGGAUUGUAAAGCACUUUAAGUUGGGAAGAAAGGCAGUAAGUUAAUACCUGGCCGUUUUGACGUUACCAACAGAAUAAGCACCGGCUAACUUCGUG
rnacentral:rRNA from 1 species